GAAGCCGGGCGAAAGGGCACGCGCCGCCUUCCGCGCCCCCCACCCCCUCCGAUCCCUAAUGGUAGUGCGUACCCGAAUGGUUUGCUGUUGUUUCGCGUCCUCCAGCCGCGUUAUAUUUAGGAGGAAGGUACCGUAAGGAACCAGAGAUGCUCGGCUGCGCACGGCAGUUACAGAAUUCUCUCAAGUUAGAAGAAUUAAGCAAAAUACUUAAAAGCACAGAAAAGCUGACAAAAUGGUGGUGAAUUACUAAACCAGAUAACACUCAGGGACGUGAGUCCUGUGUUUGGAGACAGCUGUCACCCUAUCCACAGAGACAAGCUCAGAAGCUGGGCCUGAAAGUCCUCCUGACAGGCACUUGGAGAUGCCUCAAGAUUGAAACAUUGUAUCCUUCAACUCAAAUAACUUCAGGAACUCCCUGAAACUGAGCAGAUUCACUAGGCCCCUACCUCCUAAAAGUAAACAAGAAAGCCGGGAGAGCACCCCAGACAUUCCAAGCUGCAAAGAAGAUUCUGAGACCAGACCAGUUGUCCGGAAGAAGCAAAAAACCAGCUGAGCUCUGUGGAAGAGGUUAUACCAACUGAAUCACUUGGAAAGGACACUCUAUAACCUGUUGAGCUUGUUGCUGGCUAUACAGUGCGCUCCAGGGUCCCAGCUUUGAUGAGCUGUCACCUGUGCUGGGGUGGGCCUUGGUGAUGCAGCUGCCUUUAAGUCGUUUCUGCUCCUGUAAGUAACCCCAAAUAACUCUUUGGCUCCUUACAUUGGACUUUAGUGGAAUUCACACUUUGAUUUGUUGUGAGCUCCCUAUCUGGGGCAAAUAGAUGUGUGUUGCAUCUCCCCAGGAAAAGUCCUGUCACAGAAUACUUAGGUGACACUAAUGUAUUUAGUCAGUAUCUGUAAGAACCUGCACUCAUCACUGUGGCCAGACCCAUUUAGGAUUUUCCUGGUUCCUGGAAAUACCAGAAUAGGUACAUUAUGUUUACAGUUUGCUGAGAAAUGACAACAGCAGAUAUGCUAACUGUGUGCUUUCUAAUCAGAAAGCACACAGACAAGGGUUACAGAUGGAAAAUGACCUACCACAGAGCAAAAACGGCAGGUUCACAAAUAGCACCAGAUGCUUUAAUUACUGGCUGUUCCCACAAACUAGAAAAUAGAUUUUAUAGACUCUGUCUGAAAGGAACAAUGAUCCAGCUUUGUCUGUGAGCCCUGAGCACACAGAUAGCAGUCAUCAUGAGUGAUGCCACCACCAAAUGCCCAGGAGAGUGUUACAGGGCCAGGGCUAUUGAAUCAACAAAUGACUAAAGGUCAACUCUGGAGCCCUCUUUUGACUGAAUUCAAGGUCUCAAGUGUAAGGAAGUAAAUAUUUCAUAAUUUUGUUUGUUUGUUUAGAUAGGGUGUCUCUAUUAUGUAGCUCUCACUGUCCUAAAACUGUAUGUACACCAGCCUGGCCUCAUACUCACAGAGAUCUACCUUCCAAGUGCUGGAUUCCCAGCAGAAUUUCAUAAUUUCAGAGGGGAAAAGGGCUACACAUGUAUCAGUUCUUCAUGUCUUCCUUCUCUGUAUACUCUCUUAUCUUCAGCUAUUAAACAGAAACCCAAAAGGCUAGAUGCAGAGAGUAAAGUGGGCAUUGGUAGACCACUGACAUGAUCUUUAUCUUAGUUUUCCCCUCUGUUGCUAUGAUAAAACACUCAGGCAAAAGUAACUUCAGGGAAAGAAGUUAUUUAGCUAACAAUUCCAGGCUAUAGCUCAUCAUUUGAGAAAGUCAUGAUGGAGACUUAAAGUCACUAGUCACAUACAGUCAAAACAGAAACAUGAACUGAAGAGAUGGCUCAGGGGUUAAGGGUACUGUCUGCUCUUCCAGAGUUCUGAGUUCAAUUCCCAAUAACCACAUGGUGGCUCAUAAACAUCUGUACUGGCAUGUAGGUGUACAUGCAGUCAGAGCACUCAUAUACAUUAAAAACAAACAAACAAAAAACAAAACCAGAGGCAUGCCAAAUGUACUGGUACACAUCUUUAAUUCCAGCAUUUGGGAAGCAGAGGCAGACAGAUCUCUGAGUUCAAGGCCAGCCAGUGAAUUCCAGAAUAGCCAGAGCUAUUCUGAGACUCUGACUUGAAAAAAAAAAUUAAAAAUUAAAAAAUGGAAACAAUAAACACAAGUCAUGCUCUGCCUACUUUCUUCUCUCUUAAGCUGACUCUUACGCUGAGAGUCUCUAUCUAAGGAAUGAUGGUCCCCAAAGUGGGCAGGUCUUCAACUUCAAUUAAUGUAAUUAAGACAAGCUCCCACAAGUAUGCCCAUAAGCCAACCUGAUCCUGAUAAUCCUUCAUUUAGACUCCCUUCUCAGGUGAGUCUACAUCGUGUCAAGUCAAGAAAACCAGCCAUCAAAAGACUCCAUCCCUAAAGCAGCAAGACGGCUGCUUUCUAGAUUUCCCUGACUUUUGUUUCGUAUAACUCCUAAUGGUCAAUGCAAUGGUUUGUCACUAGGAUGAAGCUGAACAAACUGCCAGGGUACAGGCUUGGUUUUUUACCUUUUUCAAUGAGAGUAUUUGGGAGUGGAGAGAGAAUUUAUAUUCUCUGAAGACAGUCUGUCAACCCAGUGGCUUUUCAGCCAUCAUUAAGAACCAAGUGAGGACAUUAAAAAUCUUAGCAGAAGCAGUGUGAAUGCAAGACUGUCAGAGAAGAGGAUAGAGUGAAGAAUGCAAAUGUUUUGUGUUUGCCCUGCACCCCACUAACCUUGCAUAUCCUUCAACACACGAGUGUCCUCCUCCAUUCUCAAUAGCCUGUCUGCUUCCCCAGAUUGAUUUUACUCCUUUUUCUACUGAGAAGUUUUACCUUUGGAGGUGGGGGAGCAGUUAUUUGCUCCGUGGCUUCCAAUCCAAUGUGGGAGUGUUAGGGGAAAUUGAAAGAACCUGGUGUGUAUGUUUCCCCAGCUCCCUGCUUCCUACCUAGAUUUCUCCAAA